rnacentral:rRNA from 1 species
GGGGAAUAUUGGACAAUGAGCGAAAGCCUGAUCCAGCAAUGCCGCGUGAGUGAUGAAGGCCUUAGGGUUGUAAAGCUCUUUUACCAGGGAUGAUAAUGACAGUACCUGGAGAAUAAGCUCCGGCUAACUCCGUGCCAGCAGCCGCGGUAAUACGGAGGGAGCUAGCGUUGUUCAGAAUUACUGGGCGUAAAGCGCACGUAGGCGGCUACUCAAGUCAGAGGUGAAAGCCCGGGGCUCAACCCCGGAACUGCCUUUGAAACUAGGUAGCUAGAAUCUUGGAGAGGUCAGUGGAAUUCCGAGUGUAGAGGUGAAAUUCGUAGAUAUUCGGAAGAACACCAGUGGCGAAGGCGACUGACUGGACAAGUAUUGACGCUGAGGUGCGAAAGCGUGGGGAGCAAAC